GUCAGGGUGGCCGAGCGGUCUAAGACGCCAGACUCAAGCGCAUAGCUUCUGAGGUUUCUGGUCCUCGAAUGAGGGCGUGGGUUCAAAUCCCACCUCUGACA
rfam:Schistocephalus solidus strain NST_G2 genome assembly, scaffold: SSLN_contig0003492